rnacentral:rRNA from 1 species
CGGCGGAUGGGUGAGUAUCACGUGGGUAACCUGCCUGUAAGCUUGGGAUAACUCCGGGAAACCGGUGCUAAUACCAGAUAAGAUUUCCGUUCGCAUGAACGGAAAAUGAAAGGCGGCUUUUGCUGUCACUUACAGAUGGACCCGCGUCGCAUUAGCUAGUUGGUGAGGUAAAGGCUCACCAAAGCAACGAUGCGUAGCCGACCUGAGAGGGUGAUCGGCCACACUGGGACUGAGACACGGCCCAGACUCCUACGGGAGGCAGCAGUAGGGAAUCUUCCGCAAUGGACGAAAGUCUGACGGAGCAAUACCGCGUGAGUGAUGAAGGUCUUCGGAUCGUAAAACUCUGUUGUUAGGGAAGAACAAGCAUUAAUCUAAUAGAUUAGUGCCCUGACGGUACCUAACCAGAAAGCCCCGGCUAACUACGUGCCAGCAGCCGCGGUAAUACGUAGGGGGCAAGCGUUGUCCGGAAUUAUUGGGCGUAAA